rnacentral:rRNA from 1 species
AGCAGCCGCGGUAAUUCCAGCUCCAAUAGCGUAUAUUAAAGUUGUUGCAGUUAAAAAGCUCGUAGUUGAAUUUCGGGGUUAGUAAGUUGGUCGUGCCACUGGUAUGUACUGGCUUUACUGAUUCCUCCUUCUUGUAGAACCGUAAUGCCAUUAAGUUGGUGUUGCGGGGAAACAGGACUGUUACUUUGAAAAAAUUAGAGUGCUUAAAGCAAGCUAACGCUUGAAUACAUUAGCAUGGAAUAAUGAAAUAGGACGUUCGAUCCUAUUUUGUUGGUUUCUAGGAUUGACGUAAUGAUUAAUAGGGAUAGUUGGGGGCAUUAGUAUUCAAUUGUCAGAGGUGAAAUUCUUGGAUUUAUUGAAGACUAACUACUGCGAAAGCAUUUGCCAAGGAUGUUUUCAUUAAUCAAGAACGAAAGUUAGGGGAUCGAAGACGAUCAGAUACCGUCGUAGUCUUAACCAUAAACUAUGCCGACUAGGGAUCGGAUGAUGUUAAUUUUAUAAUGACUCAUUCGGCGCCUUA